rnacentral:rRNA from 1 species
CAAUCACUUGUCUCUUAAAUGGAGACCUGUAUGAAUGGCAUCACGAGGGCUUAGCUGUCUCCUUUUUCCAGUCAAUGAAAUUGAUCUCCCCGUGCAGAAGCGGGGAUAAACACAUAAGACGAGAAGACCCUAUGGAGCUUAAGACCAACCUCGGCCCAUGUGGAGCACUCAACAAAGGCAGAACUAAGUGGACCCGAGGAAGUGUCUUUGGUUGGGGCGACCGCGGGGGAUCAACAAGCCCCCAUGUGGAAUAGAGAAACAUCUCUAGAACCCAGAGCUACUGCUCCAAGUAACAGAACAUCUGACCUACACGAUCCGGCAAAGCCGAUCAACGAACCGAGUUACCCUAGGGAUAACAGCGCAAUCCUCUCCCAGAGCCCA